rnacentral:rRNA from 1 species
AAAAACAUUGCCCUUUGUUGUAGCAUGAAGGGUAAGGUCUGCCCAAUGAUUUAUUUGAAUGGCCGCAGUAUUUUGACUGUGCGAAGGUAGCAUAAUCAAUUGUCCUUUAAUUGAGGUCUGGUAUGAAUGAUUUUAUAAAAGACUAGCUGUUUUUCUUGAAGAGGUGAAUUUUUAAGAUAGGUGAAGAUACUUAUAUGUUUUUAAAAGACGAGAAGACCCUAUAAAGUUUUAUACUCCUUGUGAAUAUUUUUCAUAAAAUGGGUAUUUAGUUGGGGCAAUUGUAGAAUAUAAAGAACUUCUUGAAUAUUUAAAUAUUUUGAAUAAAUGAAUGUUAUGAUCCAAAUUUUUGAUUAGCAGAUAAAAUUACUUUAGGGAUAACAGCGUAAUUUGUUUUUGGAGUUCUUAUCGAUGGACAAGAUUGCGACCUCGAUGUUGGAUUAAGAUACCUUUAUGGUGCAGGUGCUAUUUAGGGGCAGUCUGUUCGACUGUUAAAUUCUUACAUGAUCUGA